ensembl:lncRNA
CAGUGGUGGGCAGGUCAAACUGGCAGGAAUAUCACAGGUGGGGAGAAAUUGAAUAAAAUGUCCAUAAUUCAGUUUAAGUAGUCAAGCGAUCAAAUUUAUUUAAAAUGAAUGUAACACAGAACCACUGUCAUUUUAGGCAGUUAUAGUAGUUUCUCGUCUUGUUAAGCCUUACAGGAUGAUCGUGGCAAUUAAGGUGUGAAAGCUGACGUGGCCCAGGCAGAACAAACGCCCAAUUUACAGCGGAAGAUUAACACGGCCUCCUCCCCAACUGGCAGACCGGUGUGCGUACUGGUGCUGUUUAUAACCUGAUGGAGUGACAGCGGGGACGGCCAAUCACACAAGGAAUGCAGAGCCAAUGGAGGAGCUUGUGGGCAGGUCUAAACGAAAGCAAACUGGCUUCAGCUCGAGCGGCCGUUUCCGCUUGGUCCUAGUGCCUGACGAGUCUCUGUUUACCAUAGCGUAACAUGGUUUCCGGACGGUGAAAACUGCAGGGGACCAGAACGGCCUUUUGAAAAAGCGCAGGGGACAUGUCCCCUGUGUCCCCCCCCCCCCAAAUUACGUCCUUGUGUUGUGUAAGGAGUUGAUGGUGGCAUCAACUCCUUACACAACGGAGUUGGGGGGUUGAAGACCAUCACCUGCAAGGGUCCAGGCACGGUAGGAAGCUGUGCAGUGAAGGGGAGAGAGACGGGUGGAGCUGGUGCCAUCACACCAAGUGGUGGUGCUUGGUGGAUGGCCUGAGGUUGCGGUCUCCCCUUGAGCUUCGCCUGCCCAGCAGUGUUUGGUGGCAGAAUGAACAGCUGGAUGGUGGUCUCACUCAGCACCUUCGCGUUGGUGACGACGCACUCUCUGAUGUGCUUGUUAGCACGCGUCACCACCGUGAAGCGCGACACCCUCCUGUCAUCACAGCGCACAGCGCUUGGGUAGAGCGCACACAGCCUGAUGAAGAUGGCCUCCACCACCCUGUUGCAGUCUGGCCACUGCAGGACAGUGAGCCCCAACGAAACACCUGCAAAUUACAACAGAAUCCAUAUCUUUAAUAUAAGAUUGUUUUCAAUGCGUGAUCCUUACUCACUGUGCUAUUUUUGUUGUUAAAUACAUUUCUUAAUAUCUGUGCAUAAUUAUGUUGUCUCGUCUUGUUUUUUUAAAUGUUUCUGUUUGUUUAAAUGACUAUUGUCUUAUGUAAUAUAUGUUUUGGACCCCAGGAAGAUAAGCUGGUCGUUAAGGCGUCAGCUAAUGGUGAUCCUUUAAUAAACUAAAGCUGGAGGCGAAAUUUCA